rnacentral:rRNA from 1 species
UGGCGGACGGGUGAGUAAUGUCUGGGAAACUGCCUGAUGGAGGGGGAUAACUACUGGAAACGGUAGCUAAUACCGCAUAACGUCGCAAGACCAAAGAGGGGGACCUUAGGGCCUCUUGCCAUCGGAUGUGCCCAGAUGGGAUUAGCUAGUAGGUGGGGUAACGGCUCACCUAGGCGACGACCCCUAGCUGGUCUGAGAGGAUGACCAGCCACACUGGAACUGAGACACGGUCCAG